CCUACGGGUGGCAGCAGUGGGGAAUUUUGCGCAAUGGGCGAAAGCCUGACGCAGCGACGCCGCGUGAGGGAUGACGGUCUUCGGAUCGUAAACCUCUGUCAGCGGGGAAGAACGGUCACUGUGCUAAUCAGCAGUGAACUGACGGUACCCGCAAAGGAAGCACCGGCUAACUCCGUGCCAGCAGCCGCGGUAAUACGGAGGGUGCGAGCGUUAAUCGGAAUUACUGGGCGUAAAGGGCGUGUAGGCGGGAGGGCAAGUCAAGGGUGAAAUCCCCGGGCUCAACGUGGGAACUGCCUUUGAGACUGGAAGGCUGGAGUGUGUGAGAGGAUAGUGGAAUUCCAGGUGUAGGAGUGAAAUGCGUAGAUAUCUGGAGGAACAUCAGUGGCGAAGGCGACUAUCUGGAACGUAACUGACGCUGAGGAGCGAAAGCGUGGGUAGCAAACAGGAUUAGAUACCCCAGUAGUC
rnacentral:rRNA from 1 species